rnacentral:tRNA from 2 species
GCACCCGUAGCUCAAUUGGAUAGAGCAUCUGACUACGGAUCAGAAGGUUGAACGUUCGACUCGUUCCGGGUGUACCA